rnacentral:rRNA from 1 species
UACAGAGGUCUCAAGCGUUGUUCGGAUUCAUUGGGCGUAAAGGGUGCGUAGGUGGCGGGGUAAGUCAGGUGUGAAAUCUCGAGGCUCAACCUCGAAACUGCACUUGAUACUGCCUUGCUAGAGUACUGGAGAGGAGAUUGGAAUUUACGGUGUAGCAGUGAAAUGCGUAGAUAUCUGGAGGAACACCGGUGGCGAAGGCGGCAUCCUGGACCGACACUGACGCUGAGGAGCGAAAGCCAGGGGAGCAAACGGG